rnacentral:snRNA from 1 species
GUACUUGCUUCAGUAGCACAUAUACUAAAAUUGGAACAAUACAGAGAAGAUUAGCAUGGCCUCUGUGCAAGCAUUACGUCCAAAUCUGUGAAGAACACUUAAUACCU